GCAUUUGAGGCACAUUUCUUGAGUUUGGCAGAUGUAAAAAAUCCCUUCCUCUUCAUCGACGAGAAGAUGUUGACUAUUUGAUGACCAUGAGCACCAAGCCCCAGGCUUCCUGGAGCCUCAGGACUGAUGGGCGGAACCCCUGUGACACCCCCUGCUCCCUCAUCAGCUGAUCAGAGGACUGUGCGCAAGGCGAUCACACACCCUGCGACCCCCUCUCCCCCAGCCUGCCCCCGCGUCCCCCACCUGGUUAUUAAAAGUGUUUUGCCAAACUAUUCUGAGAGUUCAAGGCUUUUUAGAGCAUCAGCCACCUCAUCUCCUUGUGUGGUCCUGUUUCUCUGCUUCAGACUCCCUUGGUUCCCUUUCCAAACUCCCAGUGGUUCAGUUCGCUUGGCCUCACUGUGCGUUGGAUGCAUGAACUUCUGUUAACAGCACCCCUGAUUCCCUGCAGGCCCUUGUACUCCCACCUUUCCCAGUUCCCUGCCCUGGGAUUGGGCCUUGUGUUAGGUUUGCUAAUGUCUGAUCCCUGCCUCCUCAGCUCAGCAGGACGGUCAUACUCUCUGGGUUCUACCUGCCUGUGCCGUGGUUGGGAAAGGUUCUCUGGCAGAAAGAGCAUUGGAGCAUCUCCAAUACUAGCUUCUCCAUCAGGGCUUGAGGCAGAAGUCGCCUCUCAUUGUUGAAAAGCAAGAAGUGCAUGAAUGGCUAUGUUGUAUAAGGAACUAGAAAAAGGCAUCCCAUUCAAAUGUUAUUUCAUUAUAGUGAGUGUGAGGAAGGCUCAGAUCCAGUGGGGCUUGGGUGUGGCCCCCUCUAUCACAUUCUGCAGUGAUUACUGGAGCCCUCUGCGCAUUACCAGCCUCAAACAGAUGCUCUUCUGGGAGUUGUCAUCUUUUCAGCAUUCAAUAAUGGCUCCUCAUCAGAAGCCAUAUGUCAACAAGAAAUUCCAGAGGAUUAGAGUUGAUUAAAACUCACCACAAAAAAUGUACUCCCAUGGGGAUUCUCCAGGCAAGAGUGCUGGAGUGAGUUGCCAUUCCCUUCUACAGGGAUCUUCCUGACCCAAGGAUCGAACCUGGGUCUCCUGCACUGCAGGCAGAUUCUUUACCGUUUGAGCCACUAGGGAAGUGAAAAAUCCUAUAAUGCAGGCGUUCCCAACCUUUAGAAUUAUUGAGCAAUAAAUGUAAUGGACUUGAGUCAUCUUGAACCACCCCCCUCCCUGGCUCCCCCUCCCCCAACACCCUGGUCCAUGGACAAAUUGUUGUCCAAGAAACCUGUCCAUAGUGCCAAAAAGGUUGGGGACCACUGCAGAUGGAGGCAAGAUUAAAUGCGGUGCACCUUGGUGUGUCCAGACAAGUUGGAAAAUGCUUGAGCUAGGCCUUUGCUACUUAGGGUCCACCUGUCACACAGUAAGUCCAUGCAUUUGUAAUGGGCAAUUUUAGGCAAAUCAGAGCAGCUGUUGACAGCCACCAGGUGGUAGAGGGAGGGUUUGUGCUUUAUGCUUGAAGUUAAUAAGCAAGAGAUGGUACGAAAAGAGGUUGGCCUGGUCCGCAGGACCCAGUGUAUGAAGUAUCUUCCAGAACAUAAUAGGGAGUUCACACCUUAUUCCUAGAAAAUGAGAAGCCAUUGGAGGAUUGAGAAGGGAAGUGAGCAAACUCAGGUUCUGCAGCAAUCUGGGGGCUAAACUGGCUUCCAGGGUGGCUCAGUGGUAAAGAAUCUGCCUGCCAAUGCAGGAGAUUUAGGUUUGAUCCCUGAGUUGGAAAGAUCCCCUGGAGAAGGAAAUGGCAAUCCACUCCGGUAUUCUUGCCUGGGAAAUCCUAUGGACAGAGGAACCAGUUGGGCUACAGUCCACGGGGAGGCAAAGAGUCAGACAUGACUUUGUGACUAAACAAGACCGACGACAAGGGGGUAGACGGGAAGGAUCCCCUUGGGGAGGGGGAUUCAGUCAGAGGGUAAUGGUUGCGAACAAAGACAAACCCUCUACUCCAUCAGUGACCUGGAGGCAGUGAGGAGGGGCCAGGCCUGAGAAAUAUUUCAGAAGGUAAUUUACUUUUCUUCGGCAAUCUCAUUUUAAAAUGAGAUUAAGAAGGAGGGAAGGUUCUAGGAUGAUCCUGUCUGGUCUGAGUAAUUAGGUGAAAGGCAGUGAUGUUUGCAAGGAAGAAAAAAAGAUGAAAAGGACAGGUCUUGGGGGUGAUGACUCAUGGUGUCAGUUAUUCAACAAGUAUUUAGAGAAUUCCUACUAUGUGUUGGAUGCUGUUUCAGGGAAGUCAUGACCGAGACAGGCAGAGUUCCUGCUCACAUGGUGAACAUGAUGAAAAACGUAAAGAAGGAAUAAGAAGUUUCAAUAUUAAAGACCAAAAUGAAGAAUCCAGGGAGUGAUAGAGACUGAAAGUGAGAAAAAAGGGACAUUUUAGGUCAGGAAAGUCCUCUUUGAGGACGAGCUGUCUGAGCUGCGGUGUAUGCGGCUCCCAGCUCUUCUGGGCUCAGGCGCUUGUGUGCGCUGUGCUUAGUUGCUUCAGUCGUGUCUGACUCUGUGUGACGCUGUGGACUGUAGCCCGCCAGACUCCUCCGUCUGUGGAAUUUCCCAGGCAAAAAUACUGGAGAGGGCUGCCAUUUCCCUCUCCAGGGGAUCUACCUGAUCAGGGAUCGAACCGCAGUCUCCCUCCUGCAUCUCCUGCAUUGGCAGAUGGAUUCUUUACCACUGGCACCACCUGGGAAGCCCUUAUCAGAUCUUAGAUGUGCAGAAAUUAGAGAGGUGUCUAGGAAGAGCGCACUGCAAGUGAGGAGCCCUCGUCGAAGUCAGCGGCAGAAGGGCCCCUGUGGCCUGGAAUGCAAAGAGCAGGGGGUGCAAACAGACCUAUCGCAGCACGAUUGGAGAGGGUAGAGAUUUGGAUGUUUUUCAAACGGCAGACUUCCCCUUAAUAUAUACUUCAUGGAACCCUCGCUUCUCUUGUUGUGAAGCAGCUUUCAUUUUGGCUUUAAAGAUAAUGAUUCAGAGAUGCUUGUCAGACACCUAAAUGGAGAUGUGUACCAAACGGUCAGGUGUGGUCCUGGAACUCUGCAGAGACACAAGACUGGAAAAGUAGAUUUGAGAGUUUAAAAAAAGGCAAUGAGGGAUUGAAGUAUCAUUCUUAGUUGCAACAUAACCAACCAGGAGCCUUUUUUUUACACCUGGCUUGCUCUACACAUUUCAAAACAGUAUCAUCUGUAGGUACUCUAAUUUUCUUUUCUAGCAUGGUAUGGCAUGCAUACGCAGUUGUGUCUGACUUUUUGCAACCUGUGGACUGUAGCCCACCAGGCUUCUCUGUCCAUGGGAUUCUCCAGUAUUCCUGCCUGGGAAAUCCCAUGGACAGAGGAGCCUUGUGGGAUACAGUUCAUGGAGUUGCAGAGAAUCGAACACAACUGAGCGACUAAGCACACAGCACUGGAAGAGGAUGUUCAUUUAAAGAGAGUGUUUCACACAGUGGUAUGGACUGGAGAGAUGGCUUGCUCAUUCUUACAGGGACAAGUGAGAGAAUUAAGGGAAGCAUCAAGCCAUUAGGGCGGCAGGUUCGGGCUGAUGGCAGAAGAGCAUCUCUAGGGUCCUUUGUGGCUAUCCACAGCAUCUUUCUGCAAGGAGCAGGCUGAGAGCAGUCUGUAGGAAACCCUGAGUUUCCCACUGGGAGCUCUGUUAUGAUUGGUCCUGGCCCUUCGGCAAAUUCCAGUGGCCUCUCUGGGUCCCCAGGUUUAAGAACAGCAUUCCUGUAUGAACUCCUAACUGCCUGAGGCUGUGACACACCCUUUGGCAGAGGUCUUCAGCAGUUUCAGUAUGGAAAUGUGAUGGGUAAUCCCCAGAACAUUGGCUGGGCGGGCUGGGGGUGUGCGGAACUGUGAUAAGACAGUUCCCUGCAACUUUGAAAAGCGAGAGUGGGGGCUUCCUGGUGACUCAGUGGUAAAGAAUCCGUCUGCCAAAGCAGGAGAAACAGGUUCGAUCCCUGGUCUGGGAAGAGCCGACAUGCCUCAGAGCAACUAACCCUGUGCACCCAAACUACUGAGGCUGCACUCUAGAGCCCGGGAGCCGAGACCACUGAGCCCACGUGCCCUCGAGCCCGAGCUCAGCAACAAGAGACGCCACCGCGAUGAGAAGCCCACGCACGGCAACUGGAAGCAGCCCCUGCUCGCUGCAGCCAGAGAGAGCCUGUGCAGCAGCAGAGAGCCAGCACAGCCCAAGGUAAAGACAUUUCAGAAUCAUUUGAAAACAACAAUGAAAACCCAGAGUGGGCUUGGAGAGAGAGGAAGGUUGCCUUAGCUUUUGUGGAGACAGAAGACAGAGGAAUUACUAAUGUACCAUGGGGAAAAUGUUAGACAAAAUCUGGCUUUGCGCACAAUAGGUUAUCAACAUGUGUUAUUUAUGAUAUGCGGAUUUGAACAUGGGUGGGAAUUACUCUGCCAGUCCAAGACCACUUUUCCCUCUAAAACCCACGCCUUAGCUGAUAGAUUCAAUGUAACUGUGUCUAUAUAGAAAUGCCUUCUCUUAGCACACGAUGUUGUCGGUUACGGGGGCUCAACCUGUAAAACCAGCUGGCGGAAAGUUCAGGGAGGAAACAUAACUGGAUUCCUUAGUGACUCCUGGACAAUCGAGGUGUCCAGUAGAAAAGCCCUAUUGGAUCAGUGGAAGCUGGCACCUUUAAAUGACUUCUGUGAAGGAUAGGGAUAUAGAUGGGGAAACAGUGGAAACAGUGUCAGACUUUAUUUUUCUGGGCUUCAAGAUAACUGCAGAUGGUGGUUGCAGCCAUGAAAUUAAAAGAUGCUUACUCCUUAGAAGGAAAGUUAUGACCAACCUAGACAGCAUAUUGAAAAGCUGAGACAUUACUUUGCCAACAAAAGUCUGUCUAGUCAAGGCUAUGGUUUUUCCUGUGGUCAUGUAUGGAUGCGAGAGUUGGACUGUGAAGAAGGCUGAGUGCCGAAGAAUUGAUGCGUUUGAACUGUGGUGUGGAGAAGACUCUUGAGAGUCCCUUGGGCUGCAAGGAGAUCCAACCAGUCCAUUCUGAAGGAGAUCAGUCCUGGGUGUUCAUUGGAAGGACUGAUGCUGAAGCUGAAACUCCAGUACUUUGGCCACCUCAUGUGAAGAGUUGACUCAUUGGAAAAGACCCUGAUGCUGGGAGAGAUUGGGGGCAGGAGGAGAAGGGGACGACAGAGGCUGAGAUGGCUGGAUGGCAUCACCGACUUGAUGGACAUGAGUUUGGGUAAACUCUGGGAGUUGCUGAUGGACAGGGAGGCCUGGCAUGCUGUGAUUCAUGGGGUUGCAGAGUCAGACACACCUGAGCGACUGAACUGAACUGAAGGACAGAAAUCUGUUUUAGGAGUUCAACCCAGGAUAGAAUGAGCAAGGAAGAGUCAAGUAGGGAAGUCACUGAGAAAUCUCAAAUGGCUGAUUGCUGCUUUGUGACUACAGGUACAGGUGAUUCUAAUAUCAUUUAAAGCUAGGGUUACAGUUCUGGAGCAAGAAGAGAAAUUCGAGCCCGUCUGUUGGGGGAGACAGUGGUGUUCGGUUGCUGUGUCGUGUCGACUCUUUGCCACCCAGUGGACUGCCACACGCUAGUCCCCUCCGCCCUCCACCGUUUCCUGGAAUUUGUGUGACUUCACGUCCGGUGAGUCGGUGAUGCUGUCUUGUCUUCUGUCGUCCUCUUCUCUUGUUCUCAGUCUUUCCCAGCAUCAAGGUCUUUUCUAAUGCGUCAGCUCUUCACAUCAGGUAACCAGUAUAUUGGAGCUUCAACUUCAGCAUCAAUCCUUCCAAUAAAUAUUCAGGGUUGAUUUCCUUUAGGGUUGAGUGGUUUAAUCCCCUUGCUGUCCAAGGGACUCUCAAGAGUCUUCUCCAGUAUGACAGUUCUUCAGCACAGCCUUCUUUAUGGUCUAUCUCUUGUAUCUUAUGUGACUACUGGAAAAACUAUAGCUUUGUGGACCUUUGUUAGCAGAGUGAUGCCUCUGCUUUUUAAUAUGCUAUCUAGGUUACAAUGGAGGAUGCUAAAUAUAUUCCCAUUAUUCCCACCACUGCACAGUCCUCCUGAUGGGUGUUUGGAUCCAUGAGACUUGGCCAAGAAGACAGCUCAUGGGUGGAGUGAUACCCAGCCACACCUCUGGAAUGCUGAGACACCCCAAGGAGAAUGUGUGUGGAGAAGGUGCCACUCCCUGAGUUGGCUUCCCUCCCUGCUGUGAGAAAAUCAGAGCUUCUAGAAAGCAGUCCUGCUUUCCCAGAGGUGGCCACGACCGUCCUGGGACAUAAUGAAGAGGAAGAUGAAUGACGCAUGGGGAUAUCGUCCCGGGAAGUUCAAACCUUUGUUCUCCUGAGUUAUUUAGCUUUAAAAAGACCAAGUGGCUCAGAUCUCAUGGAACCUUGAUGACACUGGUCUGUGGAGCUUGGGCAAUAAAGUGUUGGUUGUUUGCAUGAGGAGCUCCUGAGCUGCUCUGAAAAUGAGAUGUUUCCAGUGUUCUCUCCCUCCAUCCUGUCCCUCCCUCUCUUCUCUCCCUGCCUCUGUCAUUCUCUUUUCACAUGUGAAGUUCCUUGCUUUGACAGAAGAACAUUCAUUUUACUUUCUAUCCCAUGGAGAAUCUAAUAAGGCUAAGGACUAACAUUUGUGAGCUACUUGUUGAUAUCUAAGGCACAUUGGUUAGCACUUUACAAACCUUAAAGUAUCUUAAUCUCUUUGCUAAGGCGGAUGCUGCAAUUUUCUCUACUUGAUAUCCAAGGAAUUUGAUAGACUAUCAGAGAUUUCAGCUUUCCUGAAUGACUCAGUAGGAAAAGAAUCUGUCUGCCAGUGCAAGAGAUUCAAGAGAGGUGGGUUCAAUCCCUUGGUCUGGAAGAUCCCCUAGAGGAGGAAAAUAGCAACCCACUCCAGUAUUUUUGCCUGAAAAAUCUCAUGGACAGAGGAGCCUGGAGAGCUACUAUCCACGGGGUCACAAAGAGCCAGAAAUGACUUGAGUGACUAAGCAGGAAAAGAGGCUCAGAGAGUUGCUCAUGAUCAUUCAGUUAAUAAGAGAAUGUAUCUGUCAAAAUAAUCAAGCUUGUGCCAUGUUUAUCAGAAACCUCAAAGUCCACCAAAUAGCUUAAAUUUCAUGGCUUAAAGCAGCAAAUGGUUAUUCCUCGUGUGUACUCUAGCCACUUAUGAUCACUCAGAGACCUAGACUGGAGGAGGGGUCACCAUCUUGAAACACUGUCACCUGGGACAUUGCCUGCCAAUUGCCAUGGCAGCCAAGGGGAUGCUGAAGGGUCUCUCAACAGCAGUUCUGUUCUGGAAAUGACACACAUCCCUUCUGCCCUCAGCCCAUUGGCCAACACUAGUCACGUGACCCUGCCUAGUGAGGAGCUGGUGAGCUGAUCCUCCUCCCCAGUCCUUGAGGAAGAGGUGAACAAAGAUGGCUGAAGACUAGAACUCCCCACCAGAGAGGUAGACUGAGUUCUUCCCCACAGCGUGAUCCUGCCCUUCAGAAGAAUGAUUUAAUGCAAGAUAAGGGGAUCAAGGAGAUCCAGCCAGUCCAUCCUAAAGGAAAUCAGUCCUGAACAUUCACUGGAAGGACUGAUGCUGAAGCUGAAAUUCUGAUACUUCCAUCACCUGAUGUGAAGAACUGACUACUUGGAAAAGACCCUGAUGCUGGGAAAGACUAAAGGCAGGAGGAGAAGGGGGCGGCAGAGGAUGAGAUGGUCAAAUAGCAUCACUGACUCGAUGGACAUGAGUUUGCGCAAGCUCCAGGAGAUAGUGGAAGACAGAGGAGACCGGCGUGCGGCCGUCCAUGGGCUCGCAGAGAGUCAGACACUAUAGCAUCUGAACAGCAAGACAAGAGCAUCAAAGCGGCGCCUCCUCAUGCCCUCCCUGCCGUCCAUCUUAGCCCUCCCGUGCCUGUCCCCGGCUUCUGAAGAGCCACGUCAGGGCUCCUCUCAGGGGUCCUGUGGCGUCACCCCAGCCCCUGUGCUGUUCAGACCAGUCCUCAGUGUCGUGUGGCCUGUGUCUAACCUUGAGAUUAGACAGCUGGGAAUCACUGAGUCACAGGCUGAGUCUCUGCUUGCAUUGUUUGUGCUUGGAAACAAGGUUUGUGGGGCGCAGUGUCUGCCUCUCACGGUUCUGGCAGGCUCCUGUUGCUGUGAGAGUUCCUGCUGCAAAGUCUUGUGGAACUUACCUUUGGCAUCCCCGGGACGUGCUUAACAGAUGCCGCCAUCCCCAUCUAAGAUGUGGAGGUCUCGGCUGUGAACAUCCUGGCGGGACUCGCCGUCUUGUUUCAGGAUAUCAUGGGGUUUGAGAAAUGCAUUCAUUGGACUUCUCCUUUAGAAUUCAUUGAGUUAUGGAUUCAUUUACUUAUUCAGCUUAUCCUCUGGGUAAAAUAUAGUUUCAAUCAGCAGAAAGCAAAUAGCAGGACAGGCUAAGAAGAGUCCAAAUGUACAAGCUGUUUACAAACAUUCCUUUUGGAUAGCAGUCUCCUUCCAGGACAAGUAGAGAGAGAGAGAAAUCAACCUCUUACCCAUGAGAGAGAAAAAAAAUCAACUCAAGAAAAGCAGAACUUUAUUCUAAAAGCUAAAAGGAAAGCAUGCCUUUGAAAAUUACCUUCUGUAGAAAGAGGAAUUAAAAGAAGCAAGUGAAACCAACAUUUUGUUCCUCCAUCAUUUCACCUUAACCUGUUU
ensembl:lncRNA